UGGGUGACCCUGCCUUGGGGUCCCUUCCAGCCCUAACUAUUCUGUGAUUCUAUGGGGGAAAAAAACAAACAAACAAACCCAAAACCAAACCCUACGGAUGUCUCUGUCAGGGAUUGUCACGUGAAGGAUUUGCAGCAGCUCCAGAGUGACGCCUGAUGCUCGGGAGUGCUGAGCUUAACCCGUCGCCCGCUCUAUUUGAGGUGCCCUUCUAUGAAUUUUGGCAACUGCAUACUUGCUUUAUCGCUCUGCAAAUGUGCUCCCAUUAAAAAAACCCCAACCAAACAAAAACCAAAAAACAAACCCUCAGCUUUUCACCGUUUGAUGUGUGUCCUCGGCCCCAUUCAUUUGCUAGAUGUUUUCCUCCUUUGAUCUAUUGGUAAUGGUGUUCAUUUAGGAGAGGUAUUCAGCUGAGCAGGCUUCGAUAUUCUAUCAAGGAAUUUGAAUAAAUACAAUUAUUUCUUAUUUUCUAACAUGGAAUAGCUGAGAGCUUUAGGCGUAGAAAAAGCAUGGGGCAAAAAGGAAUUUCAGGGCUCCCUUUAAUAGAGCUUUACAAUGCAGUCAGUAAAUCUGGCUUGUUGGUGAAAUGUUCAUAAUAGGUACAAUUAGGGCCUCUGCUGACUUUGAAUUGAAAAUAAUUUUUUUCAAUGAACCUUUCAAUAUUAUAUUUUUAUUGCCAUGUUGCUGGCUUGGUUGAUCAUAGUUUUUAUGUGAACUCUAUCUUUCCUAAGUGGAAGAGCAGGGAUGUCGUAUAAUAUCUAUUUAAAGCACGACCAGUGUUCAUCAGUCAACAGAUUUUUCGGCAAAUUAAAUAUUCCUGGUUAUUAAUAUUGGUGGGAAAAAAAUGAAUGUAUUUUUUGAAUGCAAGUAAGGAAAAAAUAGUUCCAACACUUUUUUGAGGGGUGGGUCUAUUUUUGUAAUUUUUUAACCAUGCUUGCUCCCUAGGAGAGUUGGUUGCAGAGAAAGAAUGGUACAGCAGGAUAAUGCCAUGUUCUCUCCCAGCCUCUGCCUAGCAAAAGGGAAAUGUGCUGGGGAUUUAUUCUGUUGCCUGGAGCUGACAGACUGACUUCUUCCUGCCCCUGCAAUGGUGCAGGUGGGCCAGAACACUUGCACCAGCACCCUGGUUUAACUUUUUUUUUGGUGAGAACAAGUGCCUGAGUGACCUGGUUAGCAAGCACUGUGCUUUACUUAUUAAGCAGUGACUAAUACAAUGCAAAGGAUUAAUUUUGAUUUCUCCACCAACUGCUUUCCCCUCCCCCACACUCUUACACUCUUCUUAUCCCUGCUUUUUUCUUCUCAAUCUCUUACAGUCUGGCUGAAAUGCUGAUUUUUUUUUUAACUCUGCUCCUGAAACAACUCUGGGCCAUUCCCUUUUUUAUCUUAAUUCACUGGGUUCUCUUUGCAUAAUAGAUCAUCUUUGUCCGAAAAGCAGUGCCAACAGCCACUCCCAGUGCCAUUCAUACACAGUAUGUGUCUUGCCCCGGGUCCUGUCACAUGAUGUUUCCCAUGUUAGGUGUGGUGCUGAAUGUGCUAAACAGAACUCUUAGACACAAAGGGGAAAUGACCAAAACCCAUGGCCUUAAAUUCAUGGCUCUCUACCAGCCACUUCAUGCAGAACUCCCAUCAAAAGUCAGUGUUUCUGUGCAUCCAGUGCUGGCAGGACCAAACCCUUAAAAUCAGGUAACAUUCAGAUCCCCAGUACAAUAUUUGUGGCAUCAGUGGGGUGAAUUAAUCUGCAUUUCAAGGCAGAAUGCAUUCAUCUGUACUUUCUCCUGCCUUUUGUUCGCAAAAAACAACAAAAAACCCCACAUUAGCAGAGCCAUGUUGCUGCUUCCUGCUUCUGUUGUUUAGUGUUUUGCAGCUACCACGGCUGGCCAAGAAGCUGUAAAUCUUGCCUGGUGUUCUGUAACAAAGAGAAAAAUAGAAUGAUUUGUGUUGACUUUUGGUCAUCGUGUAUCAUUAUCGAUCCGAGGGAGGGCGGCGGGGGAACACGUUACCGUGUAUCUGUUGCUCGCCAGUUCUCCGGGAAGGCGGCGUUACCCAGCAGUCAGUAGAGGGCAAUAGAGAAAUACAGUUUUGUGAUGCCUAAAGGAUUUAAAGCCCUGAUUAUGUGUUUACAGAAAAGAAAAAGAAGAAAAGAAGAGCCAGGAGGAUAGGUUGUUCAGUUUACUACCGGAGACCUGACUGUGACAGACUACCAAGGGAACAAAAUUUUCUAAGAGAGUAAAGAAGACCCUCUGCAGCAUUUGCAAGGGUCUCCUUUUUUUCUUCAGAGUUACGUGGGAUAACUUAGCCAGAACUUAUUGAUGUCUGCAUGUUCAGUGGACUCGGGAAUGGACUGGGAGAUGCAGAAAGGCACUCUUUGGAAGGAACAGAAGAGGAGGCAUUUCAAAAAUCCUGCAGGUGACCGAGGUGAUGAUCUGCUGACAGAAUAAAUAAAUCAUAGAUAGUACUGAGACUGCUCAGCCAUUUGCUGUGGUAUCACUUCUACAUAGGGAAAAGAAAAAUGGAGGUAAGGAAUUAUAACUUGGGAAUGUGAGGACAGGAAGGAAGACUGUACCUGGGACAUGGAUUUGAGGCAAGAUGCCUUGAAAACCUCUUUCAGAUUUGUUUUUUUCUCUCUGUGACCUUGUCCAGUCCUUUUAGGUUUCUUUUACUGCAGUACAUGUGACUGUAGGAUGGCAAGAGAAACUCCCUUCUCCAUCAUGUGAGAACAAGAGACAGUUCCCCUCAGUCUCCAAUGUUCACAUGCGUGCGUCCCUGCACUGACUUCAUGUUGCACCAUCACCAACAUAUUGGCAUGCAUGAGGAGCACAAGCCUGCUGUCUCUUCAGUUGCUCACUGCAUGCAGGUGACACGAGUUGUGUUUGCACAGAGGGUUUCCAUGGGGGUUUGCUCUGUGACUGCUCUGCCAAGGGUGACACGCACUGAUGGGUAUGAGCUCUCCUUUUUUUCUAAGAGGAAAGCGAUACUCUAAAUGGAUCAGAAAUUAUCCUUAUUGUCACAGUAUCCUGGAGCCCUUGGCUUGUUGGGGUGUCCCAGCUGCAGGAGUGGGGUGUCUGUGCUUUUUCUCCAGUCAACCCCAGCCCCAAGAGUAUUAGUGGCCCACCCUGAAUGUACAGCACACAAAUUGGGGCUUAGUGAACACCCGUCAAUGUUUUGAUCAAGGGUUCAUUUCUAGUCACCUUCUCCUGCUUUGUCUGGCUCCCACAAUCCCAUGAAUGCUGUGGGAUUCAUUCCCCUGACCUAGAUUUUCCUCUGGGGCCCUACACAACUCCCAAGGCCAGAGGUUAAAAACCCUCUGCUUAGCUGUUCUGCUUUUGUCUGAACUCUCUGUGAAAUACAAUUAGCACAUAUUUAACUAGUUGAGGGGCACAUUGUAAGGCCUAAUGAAUGAUUUCACAGUACCUGAUGUGGUGAAAAGCCUAGAAGAACCUGAUAAGGAGGUGAGCUUUACUUAAUUAAGUUAACCUUCAGAUUAAUUGAGCUGCUUUCUAAAAAAAAUGCAAUGUGAGAGCACACAGCUCCUGCAGGGCUGUAGUCUCGUUUCUGGGCCUGCACUCAUUAGAUGCAGCCAAACACAGUGUCUGUCAGAGGGUAUGUACAUUGCUGGGGCGCACGCUGAUCCUCUCUGCUUAUUUAUGCUUUACAAAGUGUAAAUUUCAGAAAUAAAUUGUUGAUCUACUCUGCAUGCAGCGAAACUUUGCCCAAGGCUGGAAUGGUGAUUUUUUUUUCCCCGUGUGCCUCCUUGCUCUUUUGGAUGAUGCCCUCAUGCUGCUAUUUCAGUUUCUAACCAAGCAAUUAUCCAGCUACAUAUAUGUGCAGCAAGCACACUGAGCACAGCUGCCUCCCCAGUGACUUCAAGGAAACUCAGAUGUCUCUUUCCCUCCUUUUAUUGAA